UUUUUUUUGUAUACCUGUAUAAUAGUUCAUACAUGAUUAACACUUAAUUCACAGUAAAAUCCAGGACUACUAAAAUGGAAAGACUUAGUAGAAAAAAAUCAUAAAAAGUUAGUUCUGUUGUAUGAGCUUAUGUUUAUGAUAUGCCAUGGUUGGGAGCUGAAGCUCCAAGGCCAGUUUCCUGUCUGUACAUUUGGCCACCUGUGUUCAACAGUUUAACAGGGCACCAAAUUAAUUCUCUGCAUAUAAAUAUCAUGGAAACUUUUCCUUAAUGAGAAUUGUAUGUUUUGUAACCAAAGGCUCCAGAAAUGACUAGAGUAGUGGGCAUUGCCUCUGGGUUUGUGUUCACCAAGCCAGGCACAGGACUCAAGUUUGUCUUUUGGUGUUGACUAUUCUUUUAGUAAAAGUGUCUUUUCUGUUUUAAUGAUGCUCUCCAAAGUUAAAUCAGAACUUUACAUUUAAAAUACCAAGAUAGAAAUUAUAAAAACCCUCUCAAACUCUAGAAAAGCAGGCAGCUGACAUUUUUUCUGCUGACAUCCAUUGAAGAAUAAGUGAAAGUAAUGAUUUUCAGUACUGAAAGACAGUCGUGUGUAUGUGAGUCAGAAAGGAACUUCCAGGAUAUGUAAAUACUGUAUAUACUUGCGCACAUGACACUGCUUUAAAAUAAUGUUGAGGUGUGUUGUUUUACUUUGGUUUUUGUAUUUCAUUAGUGCUGGGAAAUAGAACAUAAGGGCUUUCAAAUGCUAGUCAGAAGCUCUGUCACUGAGCCACAUCCCAGCCCUAUGAUCUGCCUGUGUGUACAGUUGUGACAUUGCUCACCACACUUAGAAGGGAAGACUCAUUUGUGCGGUUUUCCUUAGGAAAAUAGUGCUGGGCUGUGGCUCGUGUGAGGCGCUGCUCUGCUAGGAAGUGACCAGCUCGUUUUUUAGCCACUCCACUCCUUAACACUGUUCUUUGACUUGUUUGGGAGAUUCUUAAAUAAUUUUUGGUUUAAGUUGGGUUCAGAGGGAGAUAAUGGACUGAAAGGCUGUGCAGUUAGUCAGUCCCUUGUUUCAUAGCUCCUGUAGGUGGUUGGAGACUGUCAAAGUUAAGACACUUGGAGACCAAAGUCUCUGUGGCUCAUUUCUGCUGGGGACACUGAAAGGUGAAGCCAGACCUGCUGGUGGCAGGUGUAUUGGAAAGUGAGAGCCUUUCCUUCCUGGGUGGAGACAAACUCCUUUAUUCCUGAGAUAGCGAUGUCUGUGGAACCAAUAAACAAAUGUUAGUCUCCCUUUUCCAUCCUUCACCUUGGCGACAGGGCUGCUCCUUAGUCCAUAUAUAAAGCAUUCUGAAAUUUUACUAGGACUGAAACGUUCUUAUUUUUCUAAAGUAAUUGUUCCUUGAGUUUUCUUUAUGAUUUUAAAAACAAAAACAUGCACACUCGUGGUACCCAGACAUACUUGCAGAUGAAACACCCAUACAUAUAAAAAUAAAUUAAAAAUAUGAAAAUUUAAAAAUUGUACCUCCUGUUCACCACCUACCUUCAAAGGUAAUCCUCAAGUCAUUACCAGCUGUAUAGUUCUUCUGUUCAUAUUCUCGUUUUUUUAAAUCAGGUUUCUAUAGUAUUAAUGCCUACAGAGACAACAGCAUAAAAUGUGUUGAUGUUGGUGAGGGAAAAGUCGGUUUAAUUGAGCAGCUGCUUUCUUUCCAGUGGAUCUUGUGUUUUCUGAAGUAUUUGAGCACUCUUUGAAAUGAAUAUCCCAAGCUCUAGAUUGAUGCUCUGACCCCUCCAGGGCUUGUGUUCGCUGCCUGCCCCUUUAGUUCUGUGUCCAGGGUUAUUCCUCCUCCUCCUCCUCCUCCUCCUCCUCCUCCUCCUCCUCCUUCUCCUUCUUCUCCUUCUUCUUCUCCCCGUGAAGCUGAUGACUCCUGGAAACAGCAGAGCUGCAGUUUUUCUCUCUUGCCUCAGACCCGAGUGCAGUGUGGCUAUUGCUCUGGUUAAACAUAGCAAAUCCAAAUAGAUAUUCUCUACCUCUUACUCAGACCUGCUAAGGCUGUUUUUUACACUUAAAUUCUUUUUUAUUAUUUUUGUUUUUCACGUGUAUGAUAUAUAUGCUUGAGUGAAUGUUUUUACAUGUGUGGGCCCUUGUGUGUGGAAACACAUACACAUGUACAUGUGGGUGCAUCUGUGUGGAGGCCCAAGGUUGGUGUUGGAAAUCUUCCUCAGUUGUUGUUCCACUUUAUUCUUUUGAGACAGGGUCUCUCGCUGAACCUGGAGCUCAGCACUCCCAGCAAGUCUCUAGCCAGCUUGCUCCAGGGGCCCCUGCCUCCACCUUCAAAGGCUGGAGUUGCAGGCUGGCCAUCAUAUCCACCUGGCCUUUACAUGGGGUUCAGGCAUCUGAACUCCCGUCCUCUUGCUUGCAUGUAAGAACUUCAGCUGCCAAGCCUUCUUUCCCACCCCUGCAUUUCCUGACUCAGGGAGAAUCUACCUACCCAGUUUACCAAGCCGGAAAACCAGGAGCCAGCCCGCUGUUCAUUCUAGAGGUAGAUUUUAAGGACACUAAGUGAUUAACACCAGGCAUUAACUCAGUAAGUUGUACCCUUCCUUGCCAAACUGGAAAAUAGAGCCUCACUUUAAUUCCUUAAGUUUAGCUGGAGGUCUUCAAAAGAAAAGUUGAUCAUUUUUAGCCAUCUGGUUUAUUUUCUUCUAGAAAAGUAGAUUUUAGCAUUGGAGCUAGAAAUUCUCUGAAAUUACAUGUAAACAUUGAGAGUGGUCCAUUCUUUCCUCUCUGGAGAGUUGCUGAAUCCUGACACUGGACACCCAUGUGAGCACUGGAGAGGAGAGGCUUUUGUCAGUUAUGUGCUCAUAGUUUUGGUUAAAUUUAACUAGUAAGGAAUAGAUUUUUUG
rnacentral:lncRNA from 1 species